GCUGUUGUGAAAUGUUUCCACCACCGUUUGAUUCAGCAUGACAAAUGCCGCACCGAUGCCCCGCGGACUGCAAGCGCACUGGCUCAUCAGCGCCGGGGAAGAUGGACUUUUAUUGAAACCCAAUGAAACAGUUCUCUUGCGUGGUGGAGCUGUCGACUUUGGCAGGCUGUCAGCUGAGUCUCCUCAGUUGUGGUGAAAUGAAACGGAUGCCCCUACGGCGAGAGAGAGAGCUUUCUGCAGAGCACCUGCUGUUUUUUAUGAUAACAUAGAAAAUCACUCCUAACUGCAACACUUGUUGCCACCCCGCCUGCACACACUCCAUAUAACAGGUAGGAAUGCUUUUAUGGAAUCACUAGAUCUGAUUGAGUUGUAUGUGUGUGUGUGAAAGUGUGGGUUAUAAAGCUCAGGGGAGCUUUUGUUUAUCCUCAUGGUUAGGGUCUUCAUUUAAACUCCAGCAUCGAGAAUCACGACGGUUUGAAAAUGCCAGUCCAAA
rnacentral:lncRNA from 1 species